UUGACUUGUACAAAAAAGACUUUCCACAUGUGUCACAUUCAUAUGGUUUCUCUCCUGUGUGUAUUUUCUGAUGGUCAGUGAGGUUUGACUUGUAGAAGAAAG